AACGCUCUCGGUCUUGUCGCGGUAUAGUGCUCAUCUUGCCGAAGUCCGCCAUCGCAAACACUGAGGCGGUAGCAAUACACGUCGGUGUGCGACGAAAGACAGGCUUCGGCCCGGCUUCGCCAGCUCCUCUCCCCUCCUCCCGCCGCAAGCGGCCCUGUUCUUGUGUGCUACCUGCGCUCAGGUUGCACCAUGAGCGCCACUCCGUUGUCGCCGUCCCUACAGACAGCCUUAACCAGCGUCUCUCCCACAACCUUAGCGACCCCGGCUGAUACCGUAGCAGGUGCUACAGCUCCCGCUGCCGAGCGAGUUGUCCGCGAUGGCGUCUCAAAGAAGCGCUACCGCGUGCGUGCCAACUACUUCCUUGUCGGCGAUUUGGUCUGGGUGCGUCCUGCGAAGCUGCCGUACUGGCCGGCUGAGGUCGUUGACUGCGACGAGGCAGCAAACCGCGUACGAGCCCGCUUGAUCGUACCACCUCCCGCGGCCGUGCUCGCGGCAAAUCUCGCCGAGGAGCAGCGGAAGCAUCGGGAGCGGCGGAGGCGCGAAGAGGCGCGGCUUUUCAAGAUGCACAAGAAGGAGUGCAAACCGGCGUCGUCGACCCCGACAGGAAACGAGGUGCCGAGUGUCCACGGCCAUUCAUCGCCGUUGGGGCUUGGAGUGGAUAGCGGCACCCUGUCCGCCAGCUGCGGUGCCGCCCCAGCGCCGCCGGAGCCUCAAUCAGAUGUGGUCACGGCCAAUGGGAAGGUUGUGUACUUCUUUGACAAGCUACGCACAACGGAGGAGCUGGACGUCUGCCUGGAGAGUCGUCUGCAACGCAACAAGCACGACGUAACUCUCUAUGCGGACGCCUUCACUCAAGCCGUCCUGCAGGCAAACCGGCUCGCGCGCAUCUCUCUCAGCCCGGAGAAGCUGCAGCCAUACGAGGUGUGCGCCGUGGGCAUUGUGCACAGCCUGAUGCGGGCCCAUAUUGAAGCGCCGCGCCAGCCGAACACCGGGACGUUCGAGCCACAGACCGGGCUUAUUCGCCUCCGCACUGGGCUUGAGAACGCCGCGCGGGACUUGGCGGGCUUCGAGUUCAUCUGGGUGCUCUUUCAGUUCUCAUUCGCCGCCCCGAUGGCUUCCGGGGAGGGGCAGGAGUCGGUGCGCAAGUUUCGCGAGGCAAGGGAAGCCAGUGCGUCUGCUACCGCAGGACCUGCGUCGGCGGUGCCGGACUCUGUGCCUGCUACUACAGAAAAAGCAUCGCCGACGGCGGAUGGACACGUCGAUGCUUGCCACGACAGUGACGGCGAGGCGCUGUCGGCGUGGGCGCUCUCCUCUUUUCGGCGGCGGCAGGGGUUCGAUAGGGCUGCCGGCUUCAAGACGAUGAUAAUACCCCCUCGUGAUGAGGAAUGGCGCGGCGUCUUUGCUACGCGCAGCCCGCACCGGCCCAACUUUAUUGGCCUCUCCUGUGUGCGCCUCGUCGCCGUGCAUGGCCUGGACAUUCACAUAGCCGAUCACGACUUGCUGCACGGCACGCCGGUGCUGGAUAUCAAGCCGUACUUGCCCUUCUGCGACGCCCACGCAGACGCGCGUGCGGGGUGGGUCGAGGCGCUGGACGCCAGCGGCAAGGGGAAGGGGGAUCACAAGUAUGAUACGCAGACAACGCAGGUCCAUCGAGUGACGCUCGAGUGACGCUCGAGUGACGGAAGGCGUGCGGCAGGAUGGGCCCGUGGGAGAUGAGCAAGACACGAAAAGAACGGAGGGCGCAUCCUUUUCACCGUUUCAGUACGCAGCAGGUGUUCGCGGCAUCGCACCUACCUCACAUUACAACCGCCAGCUUUCGGGGAGGUAUGCAGUGUAGCGCAUGGUUCAUUUUCUCGUGUAACGUGUAAGCAGACAGAAGAAGCGUAAC
rnacentral:misc_RNA from 1 species